rnacentral:lncRNA from 1 species
CAAUAUCGCCCUACCUUGCUGGAAUUUGUUCUCAGAAAUUUUUCUAAGGCAAAGGGGGCACCGAAAUGAGCCUGCAUCGCGGUUUAAUCGCCUCCAAUACCGACACGCGCCAUAUGGUUGUAAUUUUUGGCCUCUUAUAAUUCCAUUAGUGCUUUUAACAAGUCAAUUGGAUACUCCGAUAAGGUACACGUGCUCUAGAAAUUCUAGGGGUCCAAAAGUGCAUCAAUCUGCGUAUUGUGAAUUCGUUGAGCCAUUCCGAGCCUUUUUGAGUUGUCACCACUUGAUUUGAAGCUUGUAUAUCCUUCAUAUAUCAUCAUAAUCCAUUUACCAAGCAUCCUAUAACAAUAAACACAACAAUUUAAAGAUCAAAACAACACAACAUCCAACACGACGAACUAGAACCACAAGCUAAGCAUAUGCUAAUUUCACUUUGAUCUUUAACUCAUUCUUUUAACCCUUGGCUUGAUCCAAUUGACCCUGGAGAAUUAUCAACAUGUUUUUUCACAUAUAAAUACAUAAUAAAAACCUUAGGAACUCAUUAAAUACAUUAUCACCCAACACGACGACUAGACAAACACCUAGCUCAAGUUAGUAACGCUAGUUUUCUGGGUUGAACUCUAAUUGAUUCUUUUAAGUACAAACUUUCUUGGAAUUCACCUUGAACUAUAUAAACACAUGUUUUAACACAUUUAUCUCAUUAUUAAACAUUAUAUCUUUGAAUAAUCCUCAAAACAAGACUAAAAAGGCUAGAAUAGUGAUGCUAGAAUGCAUAAAUACACGCAACAUCACCACCCCACACUUAAAGCCUUGUUCAUCCUUGAACAACUCUUAACUAUAAUCCUUAUCAUCUAAGGAGACUCUACACUUAUACUAAAUGCAAAACACUCAAGCUAGUACUAUUAUGACUACAUGGAAUGCAAGUUACUAUGCUAAGCAUGUUAUUUACACAGUUCAAAGCUCAUGAACACUACUCUAAAACAUCCUAGCCUCAAGAAUUGACUCACCUAAUGGCAAACUCAUGCUUAUCAUUCAAUCAAGGACAUCAUACAAAUCACCCACAUUCAUCAAACAUGUGCCCCUCACAAUAAGAGAGUUACCCAUAAUCACUCACAAUUAAGCAAUUUAGAGCAUGAUGGGCACAAAAAUCAAAUUAUUCUCACUCUUACAAAGAAUUUACAAGUUACACACAAUGAAACAUAGGCUUGACUUUAGUUUAAUGCUCAACUAAUAUCAAAAUGUAAAGCUUAGGAUCAAUUAGGACUUUUUGGGUUGUAAUGUAGGCUAAGGGACAGGUAGGAACUAUUUUGGCCAAAAAUAGUGACUAACCUCUCUAAGCGCUUUAAUACACUACAUUAAACAUUUAAAACCAAUUUCCAACAACCAAAGUAUAAUUUUUCAUCCACCCAUAUCUUUUAUUUUACCCCAUCUCUUUUAAGUAUUUUCACAAACAUAUGGUGGGGCAUAUUGUUUAUUCCUUCAAGAUUCAAUUUUUCUCAUUCACUACAAUCAUGGGAAUAUUUUUAACAUCAAUUAUAACCAUCCCAACCAUCACACAUCAUUUAUACACACCAAUAACUAUUAUCUUGGGGCAUCAAUUUCACCUUUUUCUUCUUCAGUUUCUCAAACUCCUUUUACAAUAUAUUUUUUAAUUUAAAGCACUUAGGAGAUUUUUGGAUCAAAUUAUGGUUUAUCAAAGAAGGGGACUAGGCUACAUAUGAAGUUACCAAAGAUAAGGCUAAAGGCUCAAUGGGGGUUAACUAGGAUAAUGCACAAUGGGUAGGACAAAUAGAAGGUAUAGAACAAAGCUAUCAAAGAAAUGUCUAAAUCAUCUCCUAAACCCACAUUCUUUAUUUCACUUCAUACACACACCGUGCAAGUUCUAGACAUCACAUGCAAUAAGGAAUAUACACAAUACGUCACACGCACAUGGUACAUGCUUAAAUCACAUAGGAUCAUCAUAGACUCCCAACCAAAAAAUAAAAUGAAUUCAAAUUUAAUUCAACAAGUACAAGAGUCACAAACAUGAGCGUAAGAGUCUCAAAAUUAGCAAUUCACUCAAUUUUCAUGCUUUUACAAACAAACGCACUUUCAUCAUGUAGUCAAAAAUAGCACCAAAAACAAUAUCUCACGAAUUCCUAACCUAAAAACUUUAAAUUGAGCCAAAUUUUGGGAAUUUCCCCUCCCCACACUUAAAAAUCUACUUUGUCCCCAAAGUGAAUUUAAAAGUAAAAAGAUAGAAAUACUCCCUAAGGCCUCUAGGCCUAGCUAGUAGCAUCUUUUGUAUUAAUGAGAUCCAUGGGACCCCACACUCAGUAUUUGUCAUGCUUCUUAGCUAAAGUUUAUGGUACUCAGCCUUCCUAUUAACCUGUGACUCAAUCAAAAAUAAAAAAACUACGUAAAAUAAAAACUAAAAACUAAAAAAAAAACAUACCUUAGCUUGGGUGGCCUCCUAAGAAGAGCCUAAUUUAGUGUCAUGGCACGACCCAAAUCAACUUUUUCCUCCACCUUGAGGAUAUAAAUUUCACCCCAAUAUCGCAUCCAUUUUUUUUCCUCGCUCAUAGGGUGGUGGUACAAAGAUUAAUGAACCGAGUAAUAUAAUAUGCAUGGUAAAUCACUGGCCUUCAAGUGAGGUGUGUUUUUAUGUUGCUUAUCCAGUGUAAAAUCAAGAAUAUAGGAUUCUCGUUCCUCAUCUUCACACUCUUCCACUAUUUUAAAUGAUUCCACAAAUAAGACAUCAUCUAAACAUAAUAUACAAAAGUGCUUUGAGUGCGGCCCAACCAAUCCUACUUCAUAAUUUACACAAUCUACUACACACUAAAUUUUAUUAACCUUAUCAAUUUCAGUCUCAAGAUGACAAUCGAGUGGCUGUGAUUCUUGUGUUUGCUCCACACCUUGGCUAAUAUCCUCCCAAUAUAUUUCUUUGCUUAGACACUAUAGACAUGGUGGUAGUGGAUCCAUAAUAAUUUUCAUAAUAUAAGUUUUCAAGUACUAGACUUCCUCAAAUUAUCCGCAUCAUAUUGUGAAGGUUUCGUCCACGCACUUCCAUAAAAAUCUGGAAAAUAAGCCACAAGGUGGUGUCUUCUUUAAAAACAACAAGAAUUUUCAUCCCUAGAAAACCAUCUAUCCCGGACUGACAUCUCGAGAAGAGUGUGAGAAAAAUAGAAAUAAAGGAAAAUAAAAAGAAACUAGAAAAAACUAUUUACAACCCAAUAUAAAAAAAUUAGAAAUAAGAUAGUUGCCUAAUAACCAGUCCCCGGCAACGGCGCCAAAAACUUGACAGUGCACAUGCAAGUGUACGUGGUCCUAUCAUGUAAUAUAGUGGCUUCAAGGAAGCCCCAGUAUCAAUCUCUCAGGGACUUGCGUUUGCCGCCUAUCCAAUUCUAGUUUAACAAAUUGAGAAGGGUAAAAAAAAAUAAAGUUUUAGAAUUGUAAACUAAAAAUAAACUAAACUAAUGUGAAAAAGUAAAUGACUUAGGUCAAUCUAUGGAUAGAAGCCUAGGGUUAAGGCUUACGAACAAUCAUACAACAUUAUUGAACUUCAUUCGGCAAAACUCUUAUCUUAGUUGUUGAUUCAUAUGGUUAAUUGCAUAAUUAUGGUCUCCCGACCUCAAACCUUUUACAUAAUUUGGAUAUUAAAACUACAUCGUUGAGCGGGGAUGCAAUAAUCCAAUUAAGUGUUUUAAAGUUAUCACCCUACGUGUGAAUCAAGUAAGGCUUCUAGGUACAUCCUUGUACUAGAUGCUAAGUUUAAUUCUUUAUUUUAUAAAAUAAUAAAAACCCAAACAUUAUUUAUUCACAUGGUGCAUCUCCCUAUUCCCUCUCCCGAGAUCAAAAGUACGACGAUAUAUGUAUUUUACGGGCGAUCAAUGCAUAAAAUAAUUAAAUUAAGACUAAACAAAAAACCAUAAUGAUAAGAAAUUAAACAAAAUUAAUUCAAAAUGAAAGUAAUCAUGAACGUGGCCUUAACCCCGGAAAGGAGUUUUAGCCUUUAAUGGGAUUAUUCAUUCUCCAAUCCCUUGGAUUGAUGAUACAAACCAUAAAUAAACUAAAUUAAAGAAUGACAAAACCUAGAAAGAAGUUGUGGUAGCCUCCAAUGCUCCAAGAUGUCCAAAAGUUGUCCAAAAAUGUGAUAUAACAUGUAUUUAUAGAGUAGGAGCAAGCCCUUUCCGUGUUGGACAAGAAAACCUUCAGUUAUUCAGCCCCCAACUAGGUGGGGCGGCGCCUCAAUAUCGCCCUACCUCGCUGGAAUUUGUUCUCAAAAAAUUUUCUAUGGCAAAGUGGGCACCGAAAUGAGCCCGCAUCGCGGUUUAAUUUCUUCCAGUACUGAAACGCGCCAUAUGGUUGUAAUUUUGGGCCUCUUAUAAUUCCAUUGGUGUUUUGCACAAGUCAAUUGGAUACUAUGAUAAGGUACACGUGCCCUAUAAAUUCUAGGGGUCCAAAAGUGCAUCAAUCUGCGUAUUGUGACUUCGUUGAGCCAUUCCGAGCCUUUUUGAGUUCUUCCCACUUGAUUUGAAGCUUGUAUAUCC